rnacentral:rRNA from 1 species
CGUGAAGCCCCCCUCAAGAUGAGAUAUCUUAAGACCCCUCAGAGAGAAUGAGGUAGAUAGGACAGAGGUGGAAGUACAGUAAUGUAUGGAGCUGACUGUUACUAAUCGGUCGCAGGCUUAUCCAAAA